rnacentral:rRNA from 1 species
UAGGGAAUCUUGGGCAAUGGGCGAAAGCCUGACCCAGCCAUGCCGCGUGUGUGAAGAAGGCCUUAGGGUUGUAAAGCACUUUCAGUCGUGAAGAAAAGCGAAGGGUUAAUACCCCUUGGCCUUGACGUUAACGACAGAAGAAGCACCGGCUAACUCCGUGCCAGCAGCCGCGGUAAUACGGAGGGUGCGAACGUUAAUCGGAAUUACUGGGCGUAAAGCGCGCGUAGGCGGUUCGAUAAGUGGGAUGUGAAAGCCCCGGGCUCAACCUGGGAACUGCAUUCCAAACUGUCGGGCUAGAGUAUGGUAGAGGGAGGUAGAAUUUCCUGUGUAGCGGUGAAAUGCGUAGAUAUAGGAAGGAAUACCGGUGGCGAAGGCGGCCUCCUGGACCAAUACUGACGCUGAGGUGCGAAAGCGUGGGGAGCAAACAGGAUUAGAUACCCGGGUAGUCC